rnacentral:rRNA from 1 species
UACGUAGGGGCGCGAGCGUUUGUCCGGAAUUAUUGGGCGUAAAGAGCUCGUAGGCGGCUUGUUGCGUCUGCUGUGAAAUCCCGGGGCUUUAAACCCCGGGGCGUGCAGUGGAUACGGGCAGGCUGGAGGCAGGCAGGGGGAGAAUGGAAUUCCCGGUGUAGCGGUGAAAUGCGCAGAUAUCGGGAGGAACACCGGUGGCG